rnacentral:rRNA from 1 species
GACGAACGCUGGCGGCGUGCUUAACACAUGCAAGUCGAGCGGUAAGGCCCUUUCGGGGGUACACGAGCAGCGAACGGGUGAGUAACACGUGGGUGACCUGCCCUCAGCUCUGGGAUAAGCCUGGGAAACCGGGUCUAAUACUGGAUAUGGCUCCAUGACGCAUGUUGUGGGGUGGAAAGCCUUGUGCGGCUGAGGAUGGGCCCGCGGCCUAUCAGCUUGUUGGUGGGGUGAUGGCCUACCAAGGCGACGACGGGUAGCCGGCCUGAGAGGGCGACCGGCCACACUGGGACUGAGACACGGCCCA